AUGUCAUCCAAUGAGCUGAGUGCUCCGGAGCUGGACCCCUGCAUUCGUACCUUUAAGGAGCACAUGCAUUUGGAGCUGGAGCCUCCGAGACUGGGUGCAGGCAACAAGCGCAUCACCUCCCCCAAAAUAUCUCCCCGCAGCUCCCCACGCCUCUUCCGCAAGCUCAUGGUUAACAAGGGCGUCCGCCACAGGCGCCGAUUCACCGUCGCACACACCUGUUUCGAUGUGGAAAAUGGCCCAUCUGCAAGCUGUAGUCCUUUGGACCCCCAGGCCUCACCAGGUUCUGGUCUGGUUCUGCACACAAACUUUCCCGGCCACAACCAGCGGCGAGAGUCCUUCCUCUACCGCUCAGACAGCGACUAUGACCUCUCACCAAAGUCGAUGUCUCGAAAUUCUUCUAUCGCCUCAGAACUGCAUGGGGAUGACUUGAUAGUCACACCUUUUGCUCAGGUUCUAGCAAGCCUUCGAAGUGUCAGAAACAACUUUACUGUCUUGACCAACGUUCAGUGCACAUCUAACAAGAGGUCCCCUGUGUCCAAUCAGCCCCCCAUCACCAGAGUGUGCCUACCUGACGAGUCCUACCAGAAGCUGGCAGUGGAGACCAUGGAGGAGCUGGACUGGUGUCUGGAUCAGCUGGAAACCAUCCAGACGUACCGCUCUGUCAGCGACAUGGCCUCCAACAAGUUCAAGAGAAUGUUGAACAGGGAGCUGACGCACCUCUCUGAGAUGAGCAGAUCUGGCAAUCAGGUGUCGGAAUUCAUCUCCAACACCUUCCUAGAAAAGCAGAAUGACGUGGAGAUUCCCUCACCUACACUUAAAGCCCGCGAGAAGAAGAAAAAGCAGCAGUUGAUGACUCAGAUCAGUGGUGUGAAGAAAGUAUCUCACGGGCCCAGCCUCAACUGCGGCAUUGCUCGCUUCGGCGUCAAAACCGACAAAGAGGAUUUACUGUCAAAAGAAUUAGAAGACCUGAACAAAUGGGGCCUGAACAUCUUUACGGUUUCAGAGUAUUCUCACAACCGGCCUCUCACUUGCAUUAUGUACGCCAUCUUCCAGGAACGAGACUUGCUUAAGACAUUUAAGAUCCCGGCAGAUACUUUUGUGAUGUACAUGAUGACCCUUGAGGAUCAUUACCACCAAGAUGUGGCCUAUCAUAACAGCCUUCACGCUGCUGAUGUGGCCCAGUCAACUCACAUUCUGCUGUCCACACCUGCUUUAGAUGCUGUGUUCACGGAUCUUGAGAUCUUGGCAGCCAUUUUUGCAGCAGCUAUUCAUGAUGUGGACCAUCCUGGAGUUUCAAACCAGUUCCUCAUCAAUACAAACUCUGAGUUAGCGCUCAUGUACAACGAUGAGUCCGUUUUGGAGAACCACCACUUAGCCGUGGGCUUUAAACUUCUCCAAGAGGACAACUGCGACAUCUUCCAGAACCUCACUAAGAAACAGAGGCAGUCACUCCGAAAGAUGGUCAUCGACAUGGUACUUGCCACAGACAUGUCUAAGCACAUGAGCUUACUGGCCGAUCUGAAGACCAUGGUAGAGACGAAGAAAGUGACAAGCUCAGGAGUUUUACUUCUGGACAACUACACAGACAGGAUACAGGUCUUGAGGAACAUGGUUCACUGCGCCGAUCUGAGCAAUCCCACCAAGUCUCUAGAGUUGUACCGGCAGUGGACCGACCGCAUCAUGGACGAGUUCUUUCACCAGGGUGACAGAGAGAGGGAGCGUGGCAUGGAGAUCAGCCCCAUGUGUGACAAACACACUGCCUCAGUAGAGAAAUCACAGGUUAUACCAUAUUUGACGUACAACGUCGAAGAAGAAGACAGAGGGGAAGAAAUGGAAUCCACUACACACAUCCAGAUAGUUACCGAAGACGCAUCACCUGUCGACACAUAG
ensembl:lncRNA